AAUCUUCUAUGUUUAUAUAAUCCUCAAAUUCUGCUUUAUUGCUAACUUAUCCUAUAAAAGAGGCUGGCUAAAACAGAGGUGCUGAAAAAUUAGCAAAAACUUUUACACAAUAAAUCAAAUGCUAAACUUUAUAUUUCCUUUUCUAAUAUAUUUGUAACCAAUUUAUCACAUGCUGCUGUGUUUCUUUCAUCAAAGAAUUUUAAGUGAAACUUCUAUCCCCUUUUUUGACAGUUUUCAUAAGUUAAAAGAAAAAAGAUAAAUCUAAGCAGAAUGUCACUGGUUACCUACCAGGCCAAAUCCUCACUGUCUCUGUGAACACCCAGCCUACGAUUCUCCUAGAAACUGUCCCGGGAGCAGAGAGAUGAAGCAGGGCCAUCUGUCAACUUGGAAAGGCUCUUACACCAGGCAGGCAGAGUCACUCAAUAAAAUGGAAGUAUCAUUAUUGGCAUUGUUGGGAAGGAUGAAAUAAGAGACAGCUUUGUUCGUGGAUUUAUUCCCAGAGAUUCAGGAAAGUAUAAACAGAGCAUAAGACCUUUAUCCUUACUAUAGAGCUUAUAUCUAAAGAAAUAAUAAAUAAAACUCCCUGAUGAUUUCCUCUUACUCA
rnacentral:lncRNA from 1 species